CCUACGGGAGGCAGCAGUAGGGAAUAUUGCUCAAUGGGGGAAACCCUGAAGCAGCAACGCCGCGUGGAGGAUGAAGGUUUUAGGAUUGUAAACUCCUUUUGUUAGAGAAAAUUAUGCCGGUAGCUAACGAAUAAUCACCGGCUAACUCCGUGCCAGCAGCCGCGGUCAUACGGAGGCUGCCAGCGUUACGCGGAAUCACUGGGCGUAAAGGGUGCGUAGGCGGGGGAAUAAGUCAGAUGUGAGAUCCGGUAGCUUAACUACAGAACUGCAGUUGAAACUGUUACUCUGGAGUGUGGGAGAGGUAGGUGGAAUGCUUGGUGUAGCGGUAAAAUCCGUAGAGAUCGAGAGGAAUACUCAUUGCGAAGGCGACCUGCUGGAACAUUACUGACGCUGAUGCACGAAAGCGUGGGGAGCAAACAGGAUUAGAUACCCUUGUAGUC
rnacentral:rRNA from 1 species